AGCGAACGCUGGCGGCAGGCCUAACACAUGCAAGUCGAACGAACUCUUCGGAGUUAGUGGCGGACGGGUGAGUAACACGUGGGAACGUGCCUUUAGGUUCGGAAUAACUCAGGGAAACUUGUGCUAAUACCGAAUGUGCCCUUCGGGGGAAAGAUUUAUCGCCUUUAGAGCGGCCCGCGUCUGAUUAGCUAGUUGGAGGUGUAAUGGACCCCCAAGGCGACGAUCAGUAGCUGGACUGAGAGGAUGACCAGCCACAUUGGGACGGAGACACGGCCCAAACUCCUACGGGAGGCAGCAGUGGGGAAUAUUGCACAAUGGGCGCAAGCCUGAUGCAGCCAUGCCGCGUGAGUGAUGAAGGCCUUAGGGUUGUAAAGCUCUUUCACCGGAGAAGAUAAUGACGGUAUCCGGAGAAGAAGCCCCGGCUAACUUCGUGCCAGCCGCCGCCGUAAGAC
rnacentral:rRNA from 1 species